rnacentral:rRNA from 1 species
AUUGAACGCUGGCGGCAGGCCUAACACAUGCAAGUCGAGCGGAAACGAGUUAUCUGAACCUUCGGGGAACGAUAACGGCGUCGAGCGGCGGACGGGUGAGUAAUGCCUAGGAAAUUGCCCUGAUGUGGGGGAUAACCAUUGGAAACGAUGGCUAAUACCGCAUGAUGCCUACGGGCCAAAGAGGGGGACCUUCGGGCCUCUCGCGUCAGGAUAUGCCUAGGUGGGAUUAGCUAGUUGGUGAGGUAAGGGCUCACCAAGGCGACGAUCCCUAGCUGGUCUGAGAGGAUGAUCAGCCACACUGGAACUGAGACACGGUCCAGACUCCUACGGGAGGCAGCAGUGGGGAAUAUUGCACAAUGGGCGCAAGCCUGAUGCAGCCAUGCCGCGUGUGUGAAGAAGGCCUUCGGGUUGUAAAGCACUUUCAGUCGUGAGGAAGGUAGUGUAGUUAAUAGCUGCAUUAUUUGACGUUAGCGACAGAAGAAGCACCGGCUAACUCCGUGCCAGCAGCCGCGGUAAUACGGAGGGUGCGAGCGUUAAUCGGAAUUACUGGGCGUAAAGCGCAUGCAGGUGGUUUGUUAAGUCAGAUGUGAAAGCCCGGGGCUCAACCUCGGAAUAGCAUUUGAAACUGGCAGACUAGAGUACUGUAGAGGGGGGUAGAAUUUCAGGUGUAGCGGUGAAAUGCGUAGAGAUCUGAAGGAAUACCGGUGGCGAAGGCGGCCCCCUGGACAGAUACUGACACUCAGAUGCGAAAGCGUGGGGAGCAAACAGGAUUAGAUACCCUGGUAGUCCACGCCGUAAACGAUGUCUACUUGGAGGUUGUGGCCUUGAGCCGUGGCUUUCGGAGCUAACGCGUUAAGUAGACCGCCUGGGGAGUACGGUCGCAAGAUUAAAACUCAAAUGAAUUGACGGGGGCCCGCACAAGCGGUGGAGCAUGUGGUUUAAUUCGAUGCAACGCGAAGAACCUUACCUACUCUUGACAUCCAGAGAACUUUCCAGAGAUGGAUUGGUGCCUUCGGGAACUCUGAGACAGGUGCUGCAUGGCUGUCGUCAGCUCGUGUUGUGAAAUGUUGGGUUAAGUCCCGCAACGAGCGCAACCCUUAUCCUUGUUUGCCAGCGAGUAAUGUCGGGAACUCCAGGGAGACUGCCGGUGAUAAACCGGAGGAAGGUGGGGACGACGUCAAGUCAUCAUGGCCCUUACGAGUAGGGCUACACACGUGCUACAAUGGCGCAUACAGAGGGCGGCCAACUUGCGAAAGUGAGCGAAUCCCAAAAAGUGCGUCGUAGUCCGGAUUGGAGUCUGCAACUCGACUCCAUGAAGUCGGAAUCGCUAGUAAUCGUGGAUCAGAAUGCCACGGUGAAUACGUUCCCGGGCCUUGUACACACCGCCCGUCACACCAUGGGAGUGGGCUGCAAAAGAAGUAGGUAGUUUAACCUUCGGGGGGACGCUUACCAC